AGUGAACGCUGGCGGUAGGCCUAACGCAUGCAAGUCGAACGGCAGCACAGUAAGAGCUUGCUCUUACGGGUGGCGAGUGGCGGACGGGUCAGGAAUACAUCGGAAUCUACUUUUUCGUGGGGGAUAACGUAGGGAAACUUACGCUAAUACCGCAUACGACCUACGGGUGAAAGCAGGGGAUCUUCGGACCUUGCGCGAUUGAAUGAGCCGAUGUCGGAUUAGCUAGUUGGCGGGGUAAAGGCCCACCAAGGCGACGAUGCGUAGCUGGUCUGAGAGGAUGAUCAGCCACACUGGAACGGAGACACGGCCCAGACUCCUACGGGAGGCAGCAGUGGGGAAUAUUGGACAAGGGGCGCAAGCCUGAUCCAGCCAUACCGCGUGGGUGAUGAAGGCCUUCGGGUUGUAAAGCCCUUUUGUUGGGAAAGAAAAGCAGCAGGUUAAUACCCCGCUGUUCUGACGGUACCCAAAGAAUAAGCACCGGCUAACUUCGUG
rnacentral:rRNA from 1 species